rnacentral:rRNA from 1 species
CGAAGUGAAGGUAGCUUGCUACUUGAUCUUAGUGGCGAACGUGAGUAACACGUAGGUAACCUGCCUAUAUGACUGGGAUAACUAUUGGAAACGAUAGCUAAUACCGGAUAGGUAAAGAGAAGGCAUCUUCUCUUUAUUAAAGUUGGGAUACAACACAUAUGGAUGGACCUGCGGCGCAUUAGCUAGUUGGUGAGGUAACGGCUCACCAAGGCGAUGAUGCGUACCACCUGAGAGGGUGAACGGCCACACUGGGACUGAGACACGGCCCAACUCCUACGGGAGGCAGCAGUAGGGAAUUUUCGGCAAUGGGGGAAACCCUGACCGA